rnacentral:rRNA from 1 species
GAAGCUUACUGAUGACCUAAAUAUCUGAUGAGGAAAUUCAGCAUUAUUAGUGCCAGAUGAUGGUACAAUGGUGUGCACUUUUCUUCUAGUAAGACGUUGCGAUCCAUUAGAAAAUUUAUUUUAAUCCGGUUUUUAGCCCCAGUAAGAAUUUAAGCCAUUAACCAAUUACCUGAAUUUUUUUGUUUUGGAAUGGCUGGAAACCAUUUGGGGUUCCUACCAAAUUCCGAAGGGAUUAAGAACAAUUUUCCCAAAACAUUUCCUGGGAAAUGGAUUCCCCUGGGGAAAUUAAGGCUAACUUUACCACCACCUUUUAAAAUUAAGAAUCCCUCCAGAACCCGCUUUGAACCACGGACCAAAAAUCCAAAUUGGAUGGCAAUCCAUGGGAAUAAUAAAACCUAAUAGCCAAAUGGAAAUAACUUGGUUAUGGGAUUAACAAUUGGACCAUUUAUCCAUUUUUCCCUCCCCCGGUAACUUAAUGGAAGUUAUGCCAUUUUGGUUGUGUGAAUAAAAAAAAAAACCGUGGGCCUUCCAGCUGUGACCGAAAGAUGGUGAACAUGCCUGAUCAGUUGAAGUCGGGGAAACCCUGAUGGAGAACGUAACAUUCUAAGUGCAAUCGAUGGCAAAUUGGGUAAGGGCGAAGACCAUCGACAUCUAUAUGUUCUUCUCCAAA